UACGUAGGGGGCUAGCGUUGUCCGGAAUCAUUGGGCGUAAAGCGUGUGUAGGCGGUCCGGUAAGUCCGCUGUGAAAGUCGGGGGCUCAACCCUCGGAUGCCGGUGGAUACUGUCGGGCUUGAGUACGGAAGAGGCGAGUGGAAUUCCUGGUGUAGCGGUGAAAUGCGCAGAUAUCAGGAGGAACACCAAUGGCGAAGGCAGCUCGCUGGGACGUGACUGACGCUGAGACGCGAAAGCGUGGGGAGCAAACAGG
rnacentral:rRNA from 1 species